CAGCUCCUUGUUUCUUAUAUAUCCUGCUGCAUUAUAAAACUACGUCUAUUUUCUGUUUCCCUGCAUUCCCAAUGUCCAGAUUUUUGGCUCCUUGUGUCUGUGGAAUGGCUCUAGCAAAAAGACAUCACUCCCUCUCUGCAAGAUGACUACAUUUAAAAAAAAAAAAAGGAAACCUCAUGCAACUUUCCAUGGGAGAGAUCUACAAGUUGACACGCAAGUCCAGACGCAGGUACAGUGAGACUGCCAGAUCUACAAGUUGACACGCAAGUCCAGACACAGGGGCACAAUCCUCAAAAGGCGCACAUAUUGGUCUCCCACUAUCUGAUGUUCCACAAUGUCUGUAUAAACAGUGUGCUAAACCCACCUGUUGUGUCUGCAGAGAAAGGGAAUAUUUUGGCGUUUGUGUCAGGAUGGAGUCCUAAUAUGUGGGCUAAUUCUGUUCCCGGUGAAAAAGUGAAGGCAUUGUGAUGACUAAGAAACUGUAUAUAUGAACUCACAUGGCCAUAAUGCAGUAAAGACCCAUGAGAUACAGGAAACGCUGACAUCGCCAAGAUGCUUGUACUCAAAGGUCCUGGCCUGUACUAAGCAAAACAAAUUAAACAUACAAAAUAAAACACAUAUGGCUUACCA